UACAGAGGGGGCAAGCGUUGUUCGGAAUUACUGGGCGUAAAGGGCGCGUAGGCGGCGAUCCAAGUUAGGCGUGAAAGCCCCGGGCUUAACCUGGGAAUUGCGCUUAAGACUGGACUGCUUGAGUGCGGGAGAGGUGAGUGGAAUUCCCAGUGUAGAGGUGAAAUUCGUAGAUAUCAGGAGGAACACCGGUGGUGUAGACGGCUCUCUGGACCGUAACUGACGCUGAGACACGAAAGCGUGGGUAGCAAACAGG
rnacentral:rRNA from 1 species